rnacentral:rRNA from 1 species
UGGCGGACGGGUGAGUAACGCGUGGAAAACCUGCCGUAUACUGGGGGAUAACACUUAGAAAUAGGUGCUAAUACCGCAUAAGCGCACAGCUUCGCAUGAAGCGGUGUGAAAAACUCUGGUGGUAUACGAUGGCUCCGCGUCUGAUUAGCUAGUUGGUGGGGUAAUGGCCUACCAAGGCAACGAUCAGUAGCCGGCCUGAGAGGGUGAACGGCCACAUUGGGACUGAGACACGGCCCAAACUCCUACGGAAGGCAGCAG